rnacentral:miRNA from 1 species
CGCGGGCGCUCCUGGCCGCCGCC